UGGGAAUAUUGCACAAUGGGCGAAAGCUUGAUGCAGCAACGCCGCGUGAGCGAUGAAGGCCUUCGGGUCGUAAAGCUCUGUCCUCAAGGAAGAUAAUGACGGUACUUGAGGAGGAAGCCCCGGCUAACUACGUGCCAGCAGCCGCGGUAAUACGUAGGGGGCUAGCGUUAUCCGUAUUUACUGGGCGUAAAGGGUGCGUAGGUGGUUUCUUAAGUCAGGGGUGAAAGGCUACGGCUCAACCGUAGUAAGCUUUUGAAACUGGGAAACUUGAGUGCAGGAGAGGAAAGUGGAAUUCCUAGUGUAGCGGUGAAAUGCGUAGAUAUUAGGAGGAACACCAGUAGCGAAGGCGGCUUUCUGGACUGUAACUGACACUGAGGCACGAAAGCGUGGGGAGCAAACAGGAUUAGAUACCCUGGUAGUCCACGCCGUAAACGAUGAGUAC
rnacentral:rRNA from 1 species